UCCAAUAAAACAUAUGUUUUGCUGACUACUUUUUAUUCAAAAAAUUUUACAUCCUCUUCUGCCAAAAUCAUUUCAUAAGACAUCCCAAAACCCUUGGAAUAAUGAUUACAUGAAUGAAAAAUCCUAAUUUGAAUAUACCAAGAGGUUUUGAAAGGUUUUAAGUUUUUGAUAAGUGUGUAUGUGAGAAGGUACAUCCAUCGUGAUGGUAAUCUGCUUAUUUAUAAUUUUAACUUGCAUUAUACAGCAGGUAGGCUUAUAUUUUAGUUAAACUAAAAACUUUUAUUGUAAAGUUGAUUACAAAUAUAUGAUAUUAUUUUAUUUGAUUUUAAAUGUAUAGUAAACUGCGAGUUGUAUAUGUUUUGUUGAUAUUAUUUAUAUUGUUUAGUGUUUAAAAUUAUAUACUUGUAUUUUGAUUGUUAAUUUUAGAGUUUCACCUGUAGUAUACCAUCUUGUAUUAAUAUUGAUUUAAACCCGUCAAUUCUAGGAUUUUCCUGCUUGUAUUAAAAAUUGAAUCACAUCAUACACAUUAAAAAAUCUAAUAUGUUAUUAAUUAUUGUAGUAUAUAAGAUUAUAAAUUUUAAAAUAAUAUGUAUGAAAUUGAAUAUAAAUAUUCAAAUUAUGACACAGUACUCAGUAAAAAAAUUUCUUAAAUCUACUUUUGACCCGUUAUAGUAUUUUUUCAUGUAUUGAACAGUUUAUAUUCGUUUUUAAAAAUUCAAAUUGUGGCAUAUGCGAAAAAACUCUAAUUAUUUUUUUAUAACGAUGAUAUUAUUUUUUCGCAAAAAUAGAAUCAUAUAAAGAUGAGAGGUGAAGUAUAAUAAUUAAUAAAAAAUUAAUAUGAUAAUUUAGAUAUCAAAUCUAAUUUGUUGAUUUUAAUUGGUUACUUUUUUGGAAAUUAAUAAUGUAUUUCGUUUUUGAGUUAAAUUUAAUUAAUUAAAUUAAUAUUUGAUUUUUUAAU
rnacentral:sRNA from 1 species